rnacentral:rRNA from 1 species
AAAUUGAAGAGUUUGAUCAUGGCUCAGAUUGAACGCUGGCGGCAGGCCUAACACAUGCAAGUCGAGCGGUAGCACAGAGAGCUUGCUCUCGGGUGACGAGCGGCGGACGGGUGAGUAAUGUCUGGGAAACUGCCUGAUGGAGGGGGAUAACUACUGGAAACGGUAGCUAAUACCGCAUAAUGUCGCAAGACCAAAGUGGGGGACCUUCGGGCCUCAUGCCAUCAGAUGUGCCCAGAUGGGAUUAGCUAGUAGGUGGGGUAACGGCUCACCUAGGCGACGAUCCCUAGCUGGUCUGAGAGGAUGACCAGCCACACUGGAACUGAGACACGGUCCAGACUCCUACGGGAGGCAGCAGUGGGGAAUAUUGCACAAUGGGCGCAAGCCUGAUGCAGCCAUGCCGCGUGUGUGAAGAAGGCCUUCGGGUUGUAAAGCACUUUCAGCGGGGAGGAAGGCGGUGAGGUUAAUAACCUCACCGAUUGACGUUACCCGCAGAAGAAGCACCGGCUAACUCCGUGCCAGCAGCCGCGGUAAUACGGAGGGUGCAAGCGUUAAUCGGAAUUACUGGGCGUAAAGCGCACGCAGGCGGUCUGUCAAGUCGGAUGUGAAAUCCCCGGGCUUAACCUGGGAACUGCAUUCGAAACUGGCAGGCUAGAGUCUUGUAGAGGGGGUAGAAUUCCAGGUGUAGCGGUGAAAUGCGUAGAGAUCUGGAGGAAUACCGGUGGCGAAGGCGGCCCCCUGGACAAAGACUGACGCUCAGGUGCGAAAGCGUGGGGAGCAAACAGGAUUAGAUACCCUGGUAGUCCACGCCGUAAACGAUGUCGAUUUGGAGGUUGUGCCCUUGAGGCGUGGCUUCCGGAGCUAACGCGUUAAAUCGACCGCCUGGGGAGUACGGCCGCAAGGUUAAAACUCAAAUGAAUUGACGGGGGCCCGCACAAGCGGUGGAGCAUGUGGUUUAAUUCGAUGCAACGCGAAGAACCUUACCUGGUCUUGACAUCCACAGAACUUUCCAGAGAUGGAUUGGUGCCUUCGGGAACUGUGAGACAGGUGCUGCAUGGCUGUCGUCAGCUCGUGUUGUGAAAUGUUGGGUUAAGUCCCGCAACGAGCGCAACCCUUAUCCUUUGUUGCCAGCGGUUCGGCCGGGAACUCAAAGGAGACUGCCAGUGAUAAACUGGAGGAAGGUGGGGAUGACGUCAAGUCAUCAUGGCCCUUACGACCAGGGCUACACACGUGCUACAAUGGCAUAUACAAAGAGAAGCGACCUCGCGAGAGCAAGCGGACCUCAUAAAGUAUGUCGUAGUCCGGAUUGGAGUCUGCAACUCGACUCCAUGAAGUCGGAAUCGCUAGUAAUCGUAGAUCAGAAUGCUACGGUGAAUACGUUCCCGGGCCUUGUACACACCGCCCGUCACACCAUGGGAGUGGGUUGCAAAAGAAGUAGGUAGCUUAACCUUCGGGAGGGCGCUUACCACUUUGUGAUUCAUGACUGGGGUGAAGUCGUAACAAGGUAACCGUAGGGGAACCUGCGGUUGGAUCACCUCCUUA